AGCGAACGCUGGCGGCAGGCCUAACACAUGCAAGUCGAACGAACCUUUCGGGGUUAGUGGCGGACGGGUGAGUAACACGUGGGAACGUGCCUUUAGGUUCGGAAUAACUCAGGGAAACUUGUGCUAAUACCGAAUGUGCCCUUCGGGGGAAAGAUUUAUCGCCUUUAGAGCGGCCCGCGUCUGAUUAGCUAGUUGGUUGAGGUAAUGGCUCACCAUGGCGACGAUCAGUAGCUGGUCUGAGAGGAUGAUCAGCCACAUUGGGACUGAGACACGGCCCAAACUCCUACGGGAGGCAGCAGUGGGGAAUCUUGCGCAAUGGGCGAAAGCCUGACGCAGCCAUGCCGCGUGAAUGAUGAAGGUCUUAGGAUUGUAAAAUUCUUUCACCGGUGACGAUAAUGACGGUACCCGGAGAAGAAGCCCCGGCUAACUUCGUG
rnacentral:rRNA from 1 species